rnacentral:rRNA from 1 species
UGGUGGAGUGAUUUGUCUGGUUAAUUCCGUUAACGAACGAGACCUCGACCUGCUAAAUAGCUCGGCGAAUACUUUAUUCGACCGAUUCUGCUUCUUAGAGGGACUUUAUGUGGGUAGCAUACGGAAGUUCGAGGCAAUAACA